UGCAGGUGGGAGAGGAGCCCUCAGUGAGGGGAAACCCCUGGUGCCAAGAAUUUGGGCUGAUAAGAGGCAGGGCUGGGUGGUACCAAGCACCAGCAGGGCUGGAGAUGGAGCCAGGUCCUUGCAGGGGCAGCCGAGGAGCUGCCAGCAGCAAAGGGACAUUCCUGCACAUCCCUGUGCACGUCCUUGCCCAUCCCACAUCCCCAAACCUCCAUCCCUGGUGGAAUGCAUCCCCUGGUCCAUCCCACCAGGGCAAAUCCAUGUCCGUGGAAGCACAAGGAACAGCAGCCACUGUGACACAGGACUGGUCAACUCUGCCAUAACUACCAACCUGUUCUCCCUGGAAAAUCCACUGAAAGCCUCUCAAGACUGUGGUGCAAGCUCCAGAGAAAUCUCCCACCCUACCCUUGGCCACAAAUUGAAAAUUGAGGAAAAAAAUAAAAAAUUGAGCUUCCAAUCAAUCCCUCAUCAUCCUCUCCCCGCAGCAGAGCCAAGAUCAACUCCAGGCACUUGCUGCUUUAUAGCUUUUAAUUUGCUUUUUCUUCCUCUGAAGUCGAGUUCCUCUGGCUCUCCCACAAACACAGAAGUGUUUUUGGAGGUUUCUUUUAAAAACAGUCGGCUUUGCUUGGAUAUGAGCAAAUUUCAACUUUUCCCAGGGAGGAAUUCAUGUCCCAGAGCCACAGCGCUCCCCACAAUGCCUGUCCCACACAAUUUGAAUUUACUGCAAAUGCUGGUUUUAUCAAUCACAAAACCCCCAGUAACUCAAAUCCAUGGGGGCAGAUGCAGAAAAGACCCCUCCACAUCCAGGAUGACACCAACCCACUGCAAGGUGCAACGGCCCUACAAAAACAGCUGUCAAAAGCCCCAGAGUGACCAAGACUUCCAAAUUUUAGCCAACAAUCUGAUUCAGGAACUUGGUUUUGCCCUGUGAGUUCUUCACCUUCAAGAUCUCCCUCAUGGCUAUGACACAACACAACUCUCUCCACACAUUUCCCCCCAGUGGAAAAGGAUCCCAUGGAAAAGGAAUUCCC
rnacentral:lncRNA from 1 species